rnacentral:rRNA from 1 species
GAUGAACGCUGGCGGCGUGCCUAAUACAUGCAAGUCGAGCGAACAGACGAGAGUGCUUGCCCUCUCUGACGUUAGCGGCGGACGGGUGAGUAACACGUGGGUAAACUACCUAUAAGACUGGGAUAACUUCGGGAAACCGGAGCUAAUACCGGAUAAUAUUUAGCUUCGCAUGAAGCAAUAGUGAAAGACGGUUCUGCUGUCACUUAUAGAUGGACCCGCGUUGUAUUAGCUAGUUGGUGAGGUAACGGCUCACCAAGGCAACGAUACAUAGCCGACCUGAGAGGGUGAUCGGCCACACUGGGACUGAGACACGGCCCAGACUCCUACGGGAGGCAGCAGUAGGGAAUCUUCCGCAAUGGACGAAAGUCUGACGGAGCAAUGCCGCGUGAGUGAAGAAGGUGUUCGGAUCGUAAAACUCUGUUGUAAGGGAAGAACAAGUACGUUAGUAACUGAACGUACCUUGACGGUACCUUAUCAGAAAGCCACGGCUAACUACGUG